rnacentral:snRNA from 1 species
AGUUCAGGUGAUCAGGGUGUAACAUCACCCAGUUGAUCACAAGUGUUGUUUUGGCUACUCUGUCUGGCAACGCAGGCAUCCCCUUCCAACCUUUUGUUUCCACGUGUAUCCCUCCUGAAGCUGAGAGCUCAAUGAAGAGAACAACCUUCUUGGCGGGAGGACUGUUCAUCAACCAGGAUAUACUAGCAGUUGUGCUAUUGUGCUAGAACCUCCAGCUAAGGUCUCAAAAUAAAACACUGAUUCUAAGAAAUAGUUAUGUUAAAAAGUGAAACGUUCUUCAGAUUAAUAUAUUGCUUUAAAUAAAGAUUCUGAGGCACAUU